rnacentral:rRNA from 1 species
CGGCGAACGGGUGAGUAACACGUGGGUAACCUGCCUGGGAGCGGGGGAUAACCUGGGGAAACUCGGGCUAAUACCGCAUACGCUCUAGGUGCCUCGGCACCGUGAGGAAAGCUGGCCUCUACUUGUAAGCUAGCACUCCCAGAGGGACCCGCGCCCGAUUAGCUAGUUGGUGGGGUAACGGCCCACCAAGGCUGCGAUCGGUAGCCGGCCUGAGAGGGCGAUCGGCCACACUGGGACUGAGACACGGCCCAGACUCCUACGGGAGGCAGCAGUGGGGAAUAUUGGACAAUGGGCGCAAGCCUGAUCCAGCAACGCCGCGUGGAGGACGAAGGCCUUCGGGUCGUAAACUCCUGUCAGUUGGGACGAAAAGCUGUCGGCAAAUAGGCGGCAGUCAUGACGGUACCAGCAGAGGAAGCCCCGGCUAACUCCGUGCCAGCAGCCGCGGUAAU